GUCGCCGGCAGCUUAAUGCUGCGGGAGGAAAGUCCGGGCAGCACAGAGUCACCAUACUUCCUAACGGGAAGGGGCUCUUCGUGAAAACGGAGCGUCACAGCAAGUGCCACAGAAAACAGACCGCCUACGGGUAAGGGUGAAAACGCGAGGCAAGAGCUCACGGCUUCCGCAGCGAUGCGGAUGACGGCAAACCUUAUGGGCUGAAAGACCAAAUAUACCGGCAGUUAAGGGUUGACUCGCCCGUUGCCGGGGGGUAGGUUGAUUGAGACAGUCGGCGACGGCUGUCCUAGAUUAAUGGCAGAGAACCGCGUCAGCGGUUACAGAACCCGGCUUACACGUUGCC
rnacentral:RNase_P_RNA from 1 species